rnacentral:lncRNA from 1 species
GGGACCUUGCUUGUAUGGAUGAAAAUGAAUUUAAUAACUGCCAACAGUUGGUUUGAGUUUGAGGCUGGGUUCCACUGUGACUUCUUGUUCUUUGAGCCGUGCUCUGGGGCAAAAUUCAGCUGCAGCGUGGAAAUCGUAAGGCAGAAAGAGGCUGAAAUCCAGAAGGGUGCUGGUAAGAUUGACCAUGGUAAUGAAGAGGAUCAGCGCAGUUUACCGUGUUUGGUGUUCUUACUCCACUCCCGUCUCCUUUCCGAUGCCAAAGCUCUUCUAUCCAUCCUUGACUUUUUAACCAAGGACUUCCCUCAUUAAACUGAAGAGACAAAGGAGACUCCUGAGGGAUUUAGAAAUUCAAUGGAAAAAGCAAAAAAAAAAAAAAAAAAAAAAAAAAAAAACUCUCAGAGCACUUAACUUCUCUCCCAAAGGACCAGAGAGCCUGCCAAUUCCCCAGCAAUGCCAGAGCUAAGCAUUUUCCCAGUGUCAACAUUAAAUCCCUUUUUUGUUUUUCUCUUUUAAAGUGUGUUUACAAUUGACCAUUAUGGGAAAGAUGAUGGAUGUGGCCUGGCCCCGUUUAAAAUAAUAAGGCUAAUAAUGAUACAGUUGUUUCAUGCAUACGGACUCUUUCUGAAAGCCUGUGAGCAGAAGGAAAGGGUUGAGGAGCCCAGUGUUUUCACCUUAAGUGUAGCCAGCCACCGAUCAUCCCCACGACCCAUUGCUAGCUAUAACGCUUAUGCUCCGGCAGACUUCAGAAGUUCUUGGCUCCUGCAUGCUCUUUUGGAGAAAAGAGCACAGAAGUUUUGAAUGAAUCUCCAAACCCUGUCCCUGAGAUAGCAGGGCUUAGAUGGACAAACCUGGAGUGGACAGCUUGCAUUGUGCCCCACGGGGACUGCCAGAGAAGCGCAUGAUCCUUAAGACAGAGAUAUGGCUCAGUCCUAUAUUCCAGGAGAAAGUAGACUCAAUGUUUGCUCAUGAAGUGUCCCUGCGUCCAGCUCUGCUGGUGUGUCCCUGGCGAAGACUCCCCACCUAUGUAGCCAGCAGCAUCUGUCCUUGGAUACACCAUCCCGGCUCUAGCUUUUCCCCAGUAAUCAGCUGGCUUUCGCUGGCAGGAGGAUCCAGGAGAUAGGUAAAAUGGGUUGAUUCAGUCCUUGCUGUGGAAUUCAGAUUAGACUGGGAAAGGAAAAAAUUCUCCUGACCAGGGAUGCAACAGUCAGGCAGUGAGAAUGACCUUCGUGACACUGAGCCGAGAUAAGCCUCUUGGCAUGAAACAGCUCGGCAGGCAAUGAUCAGUGGGCUAGGGAUUGGCUACAAGUGGCCCGACCCGACCCGGGGAGCAACCGAGCACCAGGAAACUAACCAGCAUGUGAGGAACAAAAAAAAUCUCCCAAUAUGCCGAAAACAGCCUGGUGCACAGCAAAACUUCGUUAACAGGCGGCCUGGAACUGAGUGCUGUGAAGCUGACCAGAAUGAAAUUGCCCUGAAAGCAACGGGACUGGGUAAAAGAAACCGGAGUAAAAUCCACCUGCCUGCUAGUGUGCAACUAACCACUGCGAGGGAUGGGAGAAGGGAGGGUCUCGGAGGGCCGCAGGGUGGACCGGGAGGAGACAGGACUCCUGGUGCUCUGGAGAACCUGACCGAGCUGCUUCGGGGAUGGGGGAGGGAGGUGUCCAGUGCCUUUUGAUUUACAAUCGCUGCGCCCCAAGCGAUCCCAUAAAUUUGGGGGCCGUUUUCACCAAAACCGUGA